rnacentral:rRNA from 1 species
UACGAAGGGUGCAAGCGUUACUCGGAAUUACUGGGCGUAAAGAGCGCGCAGGCGGUCGUUCAAGUCGAGUGUGAAAGCCCCCGGCUCAACUGGGGAGGGUCACUCGAUACUGAUCGACUCGAAGGCAGGAGAGGGAAGUGGAAUUCCCGGUGUAGUGGUGAAAUGCGUAGAUAUCGGGAGGAACACCAGUGGCGAAGGCGACUUCCUGGCCUGUUCUUGACGCUGAGGCGCGAAAGCGUGGGGAGCAAACAGG